rnacentral:rRNA from 1 species
GAUGAACGCUGGCGGCGUGCCUAAUACAUGCAAGUCGAACGAGGUGCUUUUGUAGCAAUACGAGGGCAUCCUAGUGGCGAACGGGUGAGUAACGCGUUGGUGACCUGCCCCGAAGUGUGGGAUAACAGUCCGAAAGGAUUGCUAAUACCGCAUGUGGUCCCCGGGUUUAGAAACCGGUGACUAAAGUCGCAAGACGCUUUGGGAGGGACCUGCGUCCCAUCAGCUAGUUGGUGAGGUAACGGCCCACCAAGGCUACGACGGGUAGGGGGCCUGAGAGGGUGGCCCCCCACAAUGGAACUGAAACACGGUCCAUACACCUACGGGUGGCAGCAGUGGGGAAUUUUGCGCAAUGGGGGAAACCCUGACGCAGCAACGCCGCGUGGACGAUGAAGGCCUUUGGGUCGUAAAGUCCUGUCAGCAGGGAAAAACACAAUGAUGGUACCUGCAGAGGAAGCUCCGGCUAACUUCGUGCCAGCCGCCGCCGUAACAC